rnacentral:lncRNA from 1 species
CAGAAAUGAGUCCUUUAUGCAGAAUUAUUCUGCUGUGUGCGUGCACGUGUAUUUUGCUAGCUGAUCUCAGUUGUUCUUUAUGAACUAAAUGAUGCUGUAAGACAGUGGAAAGAAAGAUAUACUGCUUUAAAAUGAUUGUUCUUUAACAAGUAGGACUCCUCUGAAAGCACAUCUUGGUUUAGUUAAUCUAUUUAAUUGAAAAGAAGUCAGUCAGAUUUGUCUGUAAAGGUUUAUCUCAAACUUCUUAAUUCCAGAAACACGUCAUUUUAGUGAUCAUUUGAUUGGAAGAGCUGAGGUUUAAGCAAAGACAUGAAUUAAACAGCAGAACUGGCAUUCAAUUCUGGAAGCUGGUAAAAAGUGUUUCUGUUUGCAGAGUAGAUGUCCGGAGUGCUGUGGAUUGGCUUGGAACAGUUGGGUCAGGAUCCGAAUGACAGGGAAGAUCCACCACACGUGCCAGGACAGUGAGAGCUCAAAGAAUCAGGCCAUGAUUAUCAGAGCUGAGUGAAAGUCAAGAGAGGAAGAGCCUCAAGGAUCGUUCAAAGAUUAUCAGAUCAAGAUCAUCACAUUGUACCAAACGGGCUCUCAGUCCCCUGUGUGGGUACACACACCACGCAUGUAUGGAUUUUAUUUUAUCCCGGGCUGCCACAUGCAUUUGCCAGCCUGGGAGAUGCCUCUCAGAGCACUCCUGAUCACCCCGUGAGCCUGAGCUGGUGCGGAGGAGGGAAGCGGGGAUUUAUGCAGCGUAUAUGGGAAACCCCCACAGGGCCCCUUUGCAGAACUCUGGCUUCCAGGCCGGCUGCCAAGCAUUAACUACAAUACUUGCGCUUGUUUUUGACAACAGCACGCAGGUUGUAUUUCACCCAUUGCUAUUUUGGUUUUGGAGUUAUGGCAGAAAUGUCUCUGGGUGCUGGCCUGGUAUAAGCGGAGUGGGAGAUUUACUCUUAUUGUGUAAUGUCACCUUUCAGUCGGUGCUUGCAGUGAAAAUUAUGGAGUGUCACUUGUUCUUUUUAUUAAAUUUCAAGGCUGUGCACCUCUCGUGUGGGAAGUGUAACUCUGUCCCGCUUCUGCUUCGAGUGGUAGCCUCAGCUGUUGGGCACCUUUUAAAACAUGAAUUCAUCUUUUUUUUUUUUCUUUUUCCUUUCUCUGCUUUUUAUCAAAAUGUUGAGACCAGCAGCAGCCGUUGCCAUGCUCCGAACUGCUGCCUGUGAUGAUGGAUGAGUUUGGCCCCAAAAGCACGGAGAGAUACUGGACUCAGCACAACACAGAUGUUGCAAUGCAGCCAAAUUAAGCUGUUGUGGGAAUGUGCAAGUUGGGCCUUAGUCAGAGUAUCUCAUGCCUGCCUGCCUCGCUGAAAAGCAAGAGCGAAAUAUUAGCAGCUGACCUGGUGGGAUAUACACUUGCCCAAAAUAUUCUGCU